rnacentral:rRNA from 1 species
AAUUAUGGUCUCCGUUGGUGACCAGCGGAGGGAUCAUUACAGAGUUAUCCAACUCCCAAACCCAUGUGAACUUAUCUCUUUGUUGCCUCGGCGCAAGCUACCCGGGACCUCGCGCCCCGGGGGGCCCGCCGGCGGACAAACCAAACUCUGUUAUCUUCGUUGAUUAUCUGAGUGUCUUAUUUAAUAAGUCAAAACUUUCAACAACGGAUCUCUUGGUUCUGGCAUCGAUGAAGAACGCAGCGAAAUGCGAUAAGUAAUGUGAAUUGCAGAAUUCAGUGAAUCAUCGAAUCUUUGAACGCACAUUGCGCCCAUUAGUAUUCUAGUGGGCAUGCCUGUUCGAGCGUCAUUUCAACCCCUAAGCACAGCUUAUUGUUGGGACUCUACGGCUUCGUAGUUCCCCAAAGACAUUGGCGGAGUGGCAGCAGUCCUCUGAGCGUAGUAAUUCUUUAUCUCGCUUUUGUUAGGCGCUGCCCCCCCGGCCGUAAAACCCCCAAUUUUUUCUGGUUGACCUCGGAUCAGGUAGGAAUACCCGCUGAACUUAAGCAUAUCAAUAAGCCGGGAGGACAA